AAGGCCGGCGAAGCGCGCGCGGGCAGCCGCUGCGCGGAUGCGUUCUGCGCAGCCCGCCUCGGAUUUCGCUCCCCCCCCCCCCCGGGCCCACGUGACGGUGACUCACUCCGCUCGGUUCCGCCUUCCUCCCCGGGCGCGUGGCGGGAGGGACGGGAGGGACGGGGGUGCCGCCGCAGCACCGGGGAGCCGGUGACGCGGGGAAAACCUAGGCAUCCCCGGACGUCGGGGCUGAUCCCGGGGGCUUGGAGGGAAAGCCGCACGCGCGCGCGCGGCGCUGCAGCUACGCACGUCCCGAGGCGGGAGCGAGGACAGCCGCCCCGUGUGCUCGCACUCGUGGUCCUGAUGUGGGCAGCUGUGCGGUGCAGAGCGUGUCGUCCCCCCCCCCCUUCCCCAUCCCAUCCCCCGGUCCCCCGAGCGAGCAGGGGCCUGCGGGCGCUCGCAGUCGUCACCUUAGAUUCCCCAGACCCACGAGGAACUCCCCGAAGCCUCGCGGGGUGAUUUCCAGAUGGCGAGGAUUUGGAAACGGCAAACCGAAGGGUACACGGCACUCCUAGGCUGCUUGGUCGAGGAGACAUCACUAGACUCCCCGCCCUUAUCUCGGCCCUCGGGAGGAAGCAUGCCGUGCGGCCAUGCUGCGACUGUUUUCACUCGUGGCGUUUUGGAUUCUUUCUAGUAAUUGGACGUGUUUGUCUUCCUGUAACUUCAGCUUCUAGCACAUGGGGAGACUAACCCAGGAAAAUGAGGCACUUGGAUUUUCGGCAUUCAAUAAAUUUAUAUUGAUUGAUGUGUACUCAAGAAGUGAGCACCCUUGAAAAGAGCAUGGAAAUUUCAAGAAUUAAAAUCAAGGGACUACUCCAUAUGAUUUUCUAUAUUUCAUGAGAGGACAGCCGUGAACCUAGGGACGGAUUCAAGUGGCCUGAGAUUGCAGCUCCAACCCAUGUCCUCCUGAGGACAGCCCCAGUGGUCUGCAGGUCAAGAGGACUUUGCCUGGGUCAUUUCACCGGCUGAUCCCUGCUCCAGGGAUCUAGAAGAACACUGUGGGGUGGUUGAGUGUGUGCUGUUGUGUCUUCCAUCCCUCCCACCCCCAGCAGGAUCUCCAACCUGGGACUGACCUUGACCUCUUGAUCCUCCUGCCUCCACCUCCAGACUGUGGGAUUAUAGAUUAUGUGCCUGGUUUAGGAGUUUUUCUUCUGCAAAUAAAAAAAAAAAAAAAAAGUCACAAGACUGGAAACUUUAUGAAGGUUCUGCCCGGUAUCAGAUAAUCAUUUACUCAUCAAAUCUGGGCAGUAAAGUGAUCACUUAGCCAUUGCCUCUGCUUUCAAGGAACCUGUGGACCAGAGAGGGGGAGAAGAUAGAGAUAAAUCCCAGUGUGGAGGUGUGGAGGGCUGGAGUCACAGGGCCAAACGAGGGCACAGCGGAGAGGGGCUGGGCAUCCCCGGAGGUGUCGGGGAAAUGUCCCAGGGAGGAGUCAUCUAUUCCUAGCUACACUGGCCACACCGUUUGUGGGGCCCAGUAACUGAAGACGUUCAUUCACCCAGAGACUGCGAAGACUUUCAAAAUAUCACAGCCCAUAGGGCCACUUCAAGGUGAACAUCCUGCCACUCAGAACUCCAGCACCCGCAAUGGGAAAAUGAACCCAAGCUGGGGACCGCUGCUAUGUGUUUCUUUUGAAGGGUUCUUAUAAUCUAAUUACAAUC